AAGUCGUAACAAGGUCUCCGUAGGUGAACCUGCGGAGGGAUCAUUAACACUAUUUGGCUUGACUUAUAUUGAAAGAUAUAAAUCAAGUUCAAAUUACUCACACAUCGUGCACUCGUGAACUUCUUUUCCCUAAAAAAGAAAAGAAGUUGACCUAAUAUAACUGGCUCGAGACCUAGGAGGCCGACGUGACGCAGUGGGCUCGCUACAUCAGAAGUAUUACCGCUACUUUCGGGGUAAUAUGGAGGUGUGGUCGGCAACUCCGCCUUUUUAUCUCGACUAUGGUUUAUUUUUGGAGGUGUUACACUCAGACACCUCGUCCCCCCUUUGCCACUCACCUUAAGCCAAUUGUACUGAUUUAGUUGAAGUAAGUUGAAAAACUUAUCUUCUUCAUAAUAUUCAAACUAAGCACAACUCUUAGCAACGGAUAUCUUGGUUCUC
rnacentral:misc_RNA from 1 species